UGACCCCACACGGCUGGAAACAGGAUCGAGGGAAGCGGGGCGGGAGGCGCCUCGUUCCACAGUCCGGAUGGAACGUCCGGCCUCACAAGACAGGUUUUGAAGGAGGAAGUGUCACACACAAACGGAAUGGUGUCCUACCCUUUGGCCUUGGCUCAGAGGUGAACAACAUGUGGUUAAGAUAAAUAAGGGCCUUGGAAUCCAGCUCAGAACAAGCAGGUA